CCGUACCAAGUGUGAUUUUAGUAGUAGAAUUUUCGAUGCAACCCGUACCAAGUGGGAUAUUUUUGCGUGUAUAUUAGUGAAAAUCUUAGGAUUGGCUACUUGAUUUAUACAAUGGUUUAUGCUAUUAGGUGGGUCCGAGCGAUUUCCGUGUAAGUCGAGUUCGCGUAAGGCGGGACAAGAAUCAUGGAUAACAUGAUACGAAACUCCUCCCUUUGCUUUCUGAGACAGCUCAUAGCUGCCAAAGCAAACCACAAGAUCAUGAGCUACUGAACAGAUGAUAAGCAAAAAAAUUAACUGCUAGAUUAAAUACCGUUAAAAAUAACUGACAAAAUCAGUUCAUUAUUAUUUUUCAUAAGAAAGUUAUAUGCUGAAGCAGCAACAGUGAAAGUGAUAUUUUUUUUAAUAAAAUAUAAAAUAUUUGUAAAAGUGUUUUUAUAUAAAACUAGGGGAUCCGACACUUACGCAUUUUUCGCAAAAACCACUUUGAUUGAGAUGUUUUUCCAUCUUAUAGCGUUUUCAAAGGUUCUGGUGGCGGAUUUAGUGAUGGCAGUGAAAUUUUUCCAGAUGCGCAACAUAAACUGGCCGAUUCACUAUUGUAUUCGAAAGCAUGACAAUAUUGACAUUCUUUGUCCAUACUACCAAUCAUGAUUAGCGAAUGUGAUGAAUAGUCUAUUUCAGGGUCAUAUUCAAUCGCAAGGCGAUUAAACGAUACUCGUGCCAGUGCUCGAUGUUUUGCACCCGCUGUCGUUCAUUUACUCUGUGAGCGUCGGUCACUCGUUGACGCGCCUCUCGUUGCCUUAACGUGUUAGCACGAAGACGUUGAUUGCAUUGCUCUGAAUUCUCAUGUGCCAAAGAGAUCAGGAGAUUACUUAUUUAAAAUUUCAAAUGAAAGAAAUGUCAGAGAAAAUAAAUUCUUUAGAGAGGGAAAUUAAAAAUUUAGGAGUGGGUUAUAGUUGUAAAGAAAAUUUAUGUAGAAAUCUUCCUCCUCAUAUAAAAAGUAUUAUAAAAAAUAGUUUAGUAAAUUGUAGCCGUCAACCAAAAGGCCAUAGACAAUUAUUUCUUUAAUUUUGAUAAUCUUUUGUGAUUAAAAUAUACAUAUACAUAUACUUAAAUUUAGACGUCAGAUAGGAAAUCUAGCUUGUUAAACUAAUUUUAAUUAUGUAUAUUUUGUGUAAUAUGGAAACCGAAAAAUACCCAAGAAAUAUAUUUAAAAAUCUCAAAACUUAUUUCAUAUCUUAGUGGCACCACUGUCAAAUGUUAUAAAAUAUGUAGACUUUGACAGCGCUCUCUCGUAUCAAAGAGUUUCGAAUCAUUUUAUCUAUGAUGUCUUGCUCAUGCUUACCAUAUUAUCCCUGCUUACCAUGGUGUUUGGUGGCCAAAAUACAACUUCAACUCAUGGAUCGAAAUUAAUUAGAGUUGCGGGAGGAUGACCUGGUGCAUUGAAUAAAAUGAUGGCCAAACUAGUCUUCAAAAAGAGAAGAUGUCACCUAAGCCUUCGCAUUAGCCUUCCAAAUGGCAGGCGAACCAGCUUUGGAUUUAUAUUUUAAGGCUCUUGGAUUUUCUGAGAGAUAAACUAAGAUAGGUUUCAAUUUACAAUCUUCUCCUGCAUUCGCACCAACCAUCACUGUCAAUCGAUUCUUGGCGGCUUUAAAACCUGGAAUUUCCUCUCCACGUGCAAUAAAAGUUCUUUUAGGCAUUUUAUUCCAAGAAAGACCGGUUUCAUCGGUAUCUGUUUUGAGUUUUUCUGAAUAGAGAGAUGCAACUCUUUAUCAGCGCUUGCCGCUUCUCUACUCUCUGCGAUGCUAUGCCAAUUACAAGGGCUCUUAAUCGGCUGAACCAUCCGUUACUAGCUUUAAACACUUAAUUUUUAGCCGCCUCCCCAACUUCUACUUUUUGUUUUUCAAAAGUCUGCUUUGCUUGAACGCACACCGUAUUUUGAUUAACAGGACAAUUUUAGCAUAAAACGGGGUAUUACUGUAUAGUAAUUGUUUUAUUUUGUUUUUAUUUUUUUAUGUAAAUUUUUGAGGGGCUAUGCAACUGAAUUUUCUAAUAUAUUUUACAGCUGUCAUUAAAUGUUCUAAUAAGAAACUAAUCAAUACUCCUUAUUUUGGUAAAGCUUAAGAAUUUAAUUGACAAAUGGUUGCUAACCAGAUAUUGAGAAAAGCAUUUUUCAAAAUGUUACCGAUAAAGUUCUAAGCGCUUAACCAGACAAUGAGAAAACGGUCUUAAGCAGCAUUUAAUAUUUCGUGCAUUUAAAAUUGUAUUUAAGAUAAGAUUAUGGACGAGUUGAUAACGUUAAUUAUUUUAUUAGUAAAUCAGUUAUUUCGGUGUUCAAAA